UACGUAGGUGGCGAGCGUUGUCCGGAAUUACUGGGUGUAAAGCGCGUGUAGGUGGCAUGCCAAGUCUGGUGUGAAAUCGCCCGGCUCAACUGGGCGGGGUCGCUGGAAACUGGCAGGCUGGAGGACGGUAGAGGUCGGUGGAAUUCCCGGUGUAGUGGUGAAAUGCGUAGAGAUCGGGAGGAACACCCGUGGCGAAGGCGGCCGACUGGGCCGGUCCUGACACUGAGACGCGAAGGCGUGGGGAGCGAACGGG
rnacentral:rRNA from 1 species